AUUCAAUGCAUAUAAUACAAAUAUAUAUAUAACAAUUAAUUGACAUGCUCUAAUAUAAUGUCAUGAAGCAUUUUAUUAAUAUGUGAAUAUUUAAUACAAAUCCACAAUAAUAUUAAUAACGUAAGUCCAAUGUAAAGAACAUAUUGCCUACAUAAAUUAAUUUUACUUCAUAAAAUUAAAUUUGAAAAAUAAAAAUAAAAACUUUGUACAAUAAUUGCUUUACAACAAAUUGUCAUGGUACUCUUCCCUUCAUCAGUAGAGGUACUAAACUAAAAAAUAUUCACUACUUAGAAAGAACAUCACCAGGGCAAUAUAUCACUGACUGGUGACAGCUUUGCCAGAAGAAGUUAGGCAUAAAUAAUGGACCAAUGGUACUGAGUUCUUACUAAUCUACUAUCAGUUUUUCAGAUUAGGAGAUCAUGAGAGAUGGGAAUUCCAUUGUAAAAGAAGUUAAACCCAAAUGCAUGUAUGAUGUGAUAUGUCAUGAACAGGGACAACGAGUUGAAAAACAGUUUAUAAAUUUAGAAUCAGUCACCUAAAAGGCAAGAACAGAAUGGCAUUCUUAAAUUAUAGGACAUGAGAACAUAGAAUAAUGUUUCUCACUCUCUCUCUCUCUCUGGAGAAAAAAAAAAAAAAAAAAA
rnacentral:misc_RNA from 1 species